rnacentral:misc_RNA from 1 species
UGCCAGUCUUGCUCCUGUUUUUGCGCGCAUCGCAACCGUUAUCACCAUCACCACCACCACUACUUGAUUGCGGCACGCAAAAUACGCCCACGCGCAGAAAGGGAGGGAACGCACUACACCUUCACCUAGUCGUGUGCAUGAAUGAGAUGGACCGUGUACCUGUGAGCAGCCGCGGUCUAUGCGCCUCGCAGGACCCACAAAGACGGCCGCUGCGCCCGGAGAAGGAGCGAGCAACGCCCAUCGCGCUGGCUUUCGUGCCGUCAACGACAUCGGGCGGACGCGGCGACGCUCACAUCUGUACCUGCACUCUCUCCUCACCGAACCGUGACGGCACCUGUAGCUCAAACAUCCUGUCGCACACGCUAACACACCCUACCCGCACCACGGUUCCGUGGGGCCGUGGGCGACAGCCGAACCACCUCCACGCACCGCCGCGCCUGGCACCGCUGACGGAGUCCCCGAUCGUCGUGCGAGGGUUUGGACCCCCGCCCAUCGCCCCAGCUCCCCUCGCGCUCGCUGAGUCAUCUGAGCACGCUCUUCGUGCGCGCCGGCUCACGUUCACCGCCAGUACUCCUGGUGGGACGUCCCUGUGCUCGGCGCGCUCCGCACUUCCCCUUCUGCCCUUUUCCACUGUCUUGACGGCAGCUCAGCGGGUUGCGCCGGUGCCUGUUUGGCGGCGCAGCAAGCCGCUCACCCGGCUGCCCGCCACUACGCUGGGACCGACACUAAGCAGCAACAGUGAAAAUCCCGACAACGUCGUCGUCGCUCUCUCCGCUGCCGGCAUGCCGAAAGGGGAAACGGAAGAGUGGAGGAACGCAGAGGCGUCCAGCGCCGCGGAGCCUACACCGAACGCCGGAUCAGCCGUGCGCCAUGUCGACUACCAAGUCGCCGCUACGCAGACAGAGCGCGCUGGCAGCUCCCUCGCUGUGAAGGUCGCUACAGAAAGCAGCCGGAUGGCCUUGCCGGAUGUUCCAGCUCCUCUGGUGGAACCUCCACAAGGGGCGUCUGCGCCAUCGAAAACGGAGACGGAUCAGCCGGUGAACGCGCCCAUGGGCGAUAUGGAGCCGCGCAAGAGUCGCCAGGAGGAUGCUUUGGAUGCCCACACGUCUUCAUCAUCGGCGCUGUCUUCCCCGGGGCAUCCCAGCGACCACAAUGUUCAUAGUAGCGUAGACGGCGUGCUGUGGGCGCAUGAGGCGCCUGAGCAGCCGGCCUACGCGCACCAGCACCAACUUCCUGCCCUCUUCUCGCAGCUAGUGCAGGAUUUGUUGGUGGCGGAGCCAAGGGCUGAUGUUGAGGGCGACGAUGACCCGCUGGAGCGAUGGAUACAAUCGUGGUUCGAAAAUCGAUGCAUGACGCAAACGCUGCAGCAGUCGCGGAUUAACUCUAUGAAACACCUGCGUGUGCUUGAAGAUACCUCUGUCGGAGCUAUCGCGCACGGGGCCUACAUCCAGGGCGCAAGAAGCUCCAACUACGCCGAACCACGAGAGAAGCCGGCGGUAGACAAGGAUGUAGACGAUGCUACGCACGCCGGGCCUGCUGCGCGUCCCGCUGCCGGUCCUUCGACCACCAGCAGUGCCUCUGCUGCUGUGACGAAGACGACGACGAAGCAUGCGCCGGCACAGUUGUUCUCAUCGUCGACAGCUGCUUCGCCGCCGCACCAGUACGUGCCGCUGACGGUUGAGCACAUCUGCAGUGCUCUGCACAGCCGCAUGACCAGUGGCGCAUCUCAGCGGGCAACCUCGCCGCCCAAGCCGCCGCAGGCACAGCCUCUUCCAAUAUCGCCGGGCACCCUCCACUCCGCUGGAGCUAGCAGCACCCCACGCCAGCCGCCACAUAGUGCUGCAGACGGCGGCGGGGGUGUUCUCGCAGCUGUAGUCGGGCUUUCACCCCCACCACAACAGCCGCAGCCGCAGCCGGCGAAGCCGCUGUCUGGCGGCCCGCAUUUGCCAGCCCCGGCGUCGACGCGCUCCAUGUCGUCGAAGCAGACUGUCGUCGCCGCAGCAGCUCUUGCCGGUGGCGGUGAGGGUGACAAGGGUGACAAGGGCGCCAGCGGCGCACGGCCGAAGCAGGCGACGACGGCGUGCGCCGUGUUCGCCCAUUCCUCCUCAUCCUCGGCACCAAAGGAAGCGGCACACCCGCAUGAGUGAGCGCUACAGAUGCGGAAAAGGAAGGCUGUGUAAAUAGGAUCAGGGGCGGUAGUCCAUGUCUGCCCACCCCGCGAAUCAGCUCUCUUACGCAUGCACGUUACUCAGAUGUGCGCACACAGGCGCACACAUACGUGGCAUCGCCAUACAAACUUGCAGGCGGCUCGUAGCUGCACGAGUGUGGAUGUCGUUGGCGAGAAGGGAGAGUGCUGCGCGUGCAUCGGAGGCUCGACCGCCUGCCUCUGCGAGUAUAUGUGUGUACAUGGGUGCGGAUGCGUGCCUGGCAGCCAUCAUCCCGUCUGUCUCCGCCGCGUCCACCUCGCCUCCCUCCCCCCUUCCUCUGCGCCAAGCGUCGAUCGGGUCUGAGAAGAGGAGAGAAGGCGAAACGGCGCGGGAGGGAGGAGAGGCGAUUGAUUGCUGGUUUUUCCUUCGCGCCGUGCGCUUCCGCACCGCUGACCCACACGCCUUCCAGCCUCUAUGCGCGCCUGCCGCCCCCUGUAUGUGCGUGUCUCUGUUUACCCGCACCUGUCGUUCUGCCGUGCGUGCCCCCACCCCCUUCCCCUCCCUCCUCCUUUGCUGACUUGUUCUCUCCUCCUCUCCUCACGUCGUCGUGCGCGUGUGGGCGGGGUUGUACUUCGGUUGUUGUCGUCGCUCCUGUUGGCCUGCUCGCUGGGAGGUGCACUUCUCAUGUAUGCAUGUAUACUAAAGCAAUAUCUGGCGGUGCACGCGCAGACGCGCACGAUCUCUCUCUGUCUCUUUCACAUGCACACUGGCAUGUCCUGGGGAGGAGCGAGACGUGGCGGGAUGUUGGAUCAGUGGGGCGUGCGCGUAUGUAUACGCGUUUCUGGGGUGUGGCUGUCACUUCACCCCGUCUGCCUGUGUCUCUGUCUCUUCCCUCCUUCCUCCAAGCCUCUUUUCACCUGUUUCUCUUUUGCUUCUCGCCAUGUUUUUUUCCCUUACACCCUCGCUCUGUGCCCCGAGCGCCACCGCCGCCGCCGCCUCGUCCUCUUCGUCCUCUGGCCUGCCUCUAUCCCUUUCCCUCCUAUCGUCGUAGCAGCAGCAGCAGCGGCGACGACGGCGACAGCGGUGCGUCUGUCAUUCCACGCAGAUGCACGGAGGCAUUCGCGUUGUUGUUGUUUUUGCUUUUUUUUGCUCUUCUGUCAUUUGCUUUUCGUGCCGUAAUUGCUGUACAUCACCCCACUCGAUCCCACCCCUUCUCUGCCUCACCUCAACCCUCGUCUUCUUCGGCCUUUCUCUGUCUGCGCGCCGCUCUCAUUUUGUGUUUUUGUGUGUGUGAUUGGUGAUGCACCGGCGUACGGGUGCGGGCCUUCUUCCGUCUCUUCUCUGCUUCCUGUUGGCGACAGCGACCCCAGACGCUUGCUUGUUCACGUGUGUUUUCUCUUUCAUUACUUGUUUCGUCUAAAGGGAAAGAGAGCGGGCGGGCGGGCGAUUUUCUCUCUCCCUCUUCCUUGCUGCCCCUAGACGCUGUUCGCCUUCAUCGUGCGCUGCUGUUCGAUUCUGCUUAUACCUCACACACACAAACAGACAGGCACACAGACGCACGCCCUCCACCCUUUCCGUGAUGUCAGUCGGUGUGUGUGGUACUCUCUCGUUUUUUUUUCGUUCUCUCUAUUUAUCUUUCUUUCCCAUGUUUGCCUUCUUCAAUGCAGCUCCCCCCCCAUCCCAACCCAACCCACACCCUUCCUCUCCCCCAAACACACACAGACUCAGACACACACACACACACACGACAUACCACCCGUCUUUUCUGUCUCUCCAUCUAUCUUGCUGUGCGCCUGUGUCUUUGCUGUGGGCAUCGGUCCUUCGAUCUGUGUGCUGGUGCGCGUGCGUCCGUCUGCCCAUCUCUCUCUCUCGCUCGAUCCCCCUUUUUCAACACAACAGGCGAUGGUGCGCGCGUGCAGGGCAGAUGAAUCCACCGCGACAUGAGAGAGACGUUGGCUGUGCGCGGUGCCGUGUCUUUUUUCUCUCUUGCUGAUUUUUUUUCUUCGCUUCUUCUUUGUUUGGCAGCCGUUGGCCACGACAUGCCCCUCACUGGAUGAGGGGCGUGUAUGUUAUGUCUGCAUGGGGGCGUUCGUGCUCGUGAUGAGCUUUUCUUGUUUGUUUUGUCCGUAUGCGUGCGUGUGUAUGGUGUAGUCGUUGAACUAUCUCUCUAUAUAUACGCGAUGUUGCCUCCUCCCCCUUCCAUCCCAUCUCUUUGCCCUCCAUCAAGCGUCCGUCGUCGUUGGUGUUGGUGUCAGCCUCUUGUUUUUGCUUUCCCCUCCUUCUCCCUCACUUCUCGUUGACAGUAUCUUAACAAGUCGCCGCUUCCGGCGCCCUGUGGUGCGCACCAGCGCAUAAUCGCCGCCCACCACCACCCUUAGCAACAACGGGAAAGACGAGUGAGAAAGAGAGUACUUGAUUCUACGCGCAGGAGAGGUGGCCAGUCGGUGCUGCGUUGGUGCAACAAGCCUUCGUAUGUGCGUGUGUGUCGUUCCAGUUGGACUACACAAGAGUACUCGAAAAAGGCCCAG